GAGAGCCAAGUCUCACAAAUUGUUCAGCCCUGAGUGUCAGCCCUGAGUGUCCCUGGAGUUACCUCUUGACUAGGCACUAAGAGAAGAAAUGAUUAUAAAUGGAAAGUGGAUGAUCCAGAUGUCAGCCACACCCAACUGUCAGUCAACUCUACCUAAUGAAUGAAUACUCAGGAUACUGUGAAUGUUACUAUUCAUCACUUCAGGUGAAUGCUGUAGUGUAGCUGCGUCCUCUGAACUGAAACAUUCUGUGCUGGAGGGAGGAAAGGGGCUCCUAAGACUCAAGAAGCUAACAAAACUUAAAAGGCUCAGGAAGCUCAAAAAGAUAGGAGACUGGAGAGCACAUCCAGAGCUUAUAUAAGGAGUGAACAAUUGGUGGGGAGGAGACUUCAGGGGAACUGCCUUCAAGUUGGGCAGGGAGUACCAGGAGUGUAAAUUUUGUGAAUCGUCACCCAUGGUGGGUGGUCUUUGCAGUAAUGCAGUUGCCUUAGAGUCACCUCUGCUCCUCUAAGUGAGUUCUCAUGCUUGCUCCUGUAAGUAACACCAAUAAACUCAUUGUUUUAUGAAGCUA